rnacentral:rRNA from 1 species
UACGUAGGGGGCAAGCGUUGUCCGGAAUCAUUGGGCGUAAAGCGCGCGUAGGCGGUCCGGUAAGUCUGUUGUGAAAGUCAAAGGCUCAACCUUUGAACGCCGAUGGAUACUGCCGGGCUAGAGUCCGGAAGAGGCGAGUGGAAUUCCUGGUGUAGCGGUGGAAUGCGCAGAUAUCAGGAGGAACACCAAUAGCGAAGGCAGCUCGCUGGGACGGUACUGACGCUGAGACGCGAAAGCGUGGGGAGCGAACAGG